rnacentral:rRNA from 1 species
UACGUAGGGAGCAAGCGUUGUCCGGAAUCAUUGGGCGUAAAGCGCGCGUAGGCGGCCCUGUAAGUCCGUUGUGAAAGUCAAAGGCUCAACCUUUGAAAGCCGAUGGAUACUGCAGGGCUGGAGUCCGGAAGAGGCGAGUGGAAUUCCUGGUGUAGCGGUGGAAUGCGCAGAUAUCAGGAGGAACACCGGUGGCGAAGGCGGAUCUCUGGGCCGAUACUGACGCUGAGGAGCGAAAGCGUGGGGAGCGAACAGG